rnacentral:rRNA from 1 species
UACGAAGGGGGCUAGCGUUGCUCGGAAUCACUGGGCGUAAAGCGCACGUAGGCGGAUUGUUAAGUCAGGGGUGAAAUCCCAGGGCUCAACCCUGGAACUGCCUUUGAUACUGACGAUCUGGAGAUCGGGAGAGGUUGGUGGAAUUCCGAGUGUAGAGGUGAAAUUCGUAGAUAUUCGGAGGAACACCAGAAGCGAAGGCGGCCAACUGGCCCGAUACUGACGCUGAGACGCGAAAGCGUGGGGAGCAAACAGG